UACGGAGGGUGCAAGCGUUAAUCGGAAUUACUGGGCGUAAAGCGCACGCAGGCGGUUGGAUUAGUUAGAUGUGUAAGCCCCGGGCUCAAACUGGGAAUUGCAUUUAAAACUGUCCAGCUAGAGUCUUGUGGAGGGGGGUAGAAUUCCAGGUGUAGCGGUGAAAUGCGUAGAGAUCUGGAGGAAUACCGGUGGCGAAGGCGGCCCCCUGGACAAAGACUGACGCUCAGGUGCGAAAGCGUGGGGAGCAAACAGG
rnacentral:rRNA from 1 species